UACGUAGGUGGCGAGCGUUGUCCGGAUUUACUGGGCGUAAAGGGAGCGUAGGCGGACUUUUAAGUGAGAUGUGGAAUACUCGGGCUCAACUUGAGUGCUGCAUUUCAAACUGGAAGCCUAGAGUGCAGGAGAGGAGAAUGGAAUUCCUAGUGUAGCGGUGAAAUGCGUAGAGAUUAGGAAGAACACCAGUGGCGAAGGCGAUUCUCUGGACUGUGACUGACGCUGAGGCUCGAAAGCGUGGGGAGCAAACAGG
rnacentral:rRNA from 1 species